rnacentral:rRNA from 1 species
GACGAACGCUGGCGGCGUGCCUAAUACAUGCAAGUCGAGCGCAGGAAAUCGACGGAACCCUUCGGGGGGAAGUCGACGGAAUGAGCGGCGGACGGGUGAGUAACACGUAAAGAACCUGCCCUCAGGUCUGGGAUAACCACGAGAAAUCGGGGCUAAUACCGGAUGGGUCAUCGGACCGCAUGGUCCGAGGAUGAAAGGCGCUUCGGCGUCGCCUGGGGAUGGCUUUGCGGUGCAUUAGCUAGUUGGUGGGGUAAUGGCCCACCAAGGCGACGGUGCAUAGCCGACCUGAGAGGGUGAUCGGCCACACUGGGACUGAGACACGGCCCAGACUCCUACGGGAGGCAGCAGUAGGGAAUCUUCCACAAUGGACGAAAGUCUGAUGGAGCAACGCCGCGUGAACGAUGAAGGCCUUCGGGUCGUAAAGUUCUGUUGUAAGGGAAGAACCAGUGCCGCAGGCAAUGGCGGCACCUUGACGGUACCUUGCGAGAAAGCCACGGCUAACUACGUGCCAGCCGCCGCAGUAA